rnacentral:misc_RNA from 1 species
GAAAUGCGAUACGCAAUGCGAAUUGCAGAAUUCCGCGAGUCAUCAGAUCUUUGAACGCAGCCGGCGCUGGGAGGCUCUCCUCCCAGCAUGCUUGUUUCAGUGUGUACGGUUGACAUCAAACACUCAAGUGCGAUUGAGGAAACGACCUUUAAUUAGGAAGUUCCCUCUCUCGCUAAACGAGAAUACGUGAGGUCGUUGCUCGACCAGCGAAGUGGUCACUGUUUACCAGUGAAUUCGUUGGACAAAAAGAGCUCCGACCAAAAAAAGCACGCAUUUUAUAACUACAACCUCUUCAAUCAGCACCUGAAAUCAAGCAAGAACACCCACUGAACUUAA